UGGGGAAUAUUGCACAAUGGGCGCAAGCCUGAUGCAGCCAUGCCGCGUGUAUGAAGAAGGCCUUCGGGUUGUAAAGUACUUUCAGCGGGGAGGAAGGCGAUAAGGUUAAUAACCUUGUCGAUUGACGUUACCCGCAGAAGAAGCACCGGCUAACUCCGUGCCAGCAGCCGCGGUAAUACGGAGGGUGCAAGCGUUAAUCGGAAUUACUGGGCGUAAAGCGCACGCAGGCGGUCUGUCAAGUCGGAUGUGAAAUCCCCGGGCUCAACCUGGGAACUGCAUUCGAAACUGGCUGGCUAGAGUCUUGUAGAGGGGGGUAGAAUUCCAGGUGUAGCGGUGAAAUGCGUAGAGAUCUGGAGGAAUACCGGUGGCGAAGGCGGCCCCCUGGACAAAGACUGACGCUCAGGUGCGAAAGCGUGGGGAGCAAACA
rnacentral:rRNA from 1 species